rnacentral:rRNA from 1 species
UACGUAGGCAGCAAGCGUUGUUCGGAAUUACUGGGCGUAAAGAGUGUGUAGGCGGUGCUCUAAGUUCGGUGUGAAAUCUCCCGGCUUAACUGGGAGGGUGCGACGGAAACUGGAGUGCUUGAGCGCGGGAGAGGAAAGCGGAAUUCCUGGUGUAGCGGUGAAAUGCGUAGAUAUCAGGAGGAACACCUGUGGUGUAGACGGCUUUCUGGACCGUAGCUGACGCUGAGACACGAAAGCGUGGGUAGCAAACAGG